rnacentral:rRNA from 1 species
CUAAUACAUGCAAGUCGAGCGAGACCUUCGGGUCUAGCGGCGGACGGCUGAGUAAUGCAUAGAUAACGUGCCCUUUACUGGGGGAUAACACCGGGAAACUGGUGCUAAUACCGCAUAAGUGCCGGGUUGCAAUACCCGUCAUUAAAGAAUUUCGGUAAAGGAUCGGUCUGUGUCGGAUUAGCUAGUUGGCGGGGUAAUAGCCCACCAAGGCGAUGAUCCGUAGUUGGUCUGAGAGGAUGACCAGCCAGAGUGGGACUGAGACACGGCCCACACUCCUACGGGAGGCAGCAGUAGGGAAUAUUGCGCAAUGGGCGAAAGCCUGACGCAGCAACACCGCGUGGAGGAUGACGUUUCUAGGAACGUAAACUCCUGUCGGCAGGGAAUAAUUUUGACUGUACCUGCAAAGGAAGGACCGGCUAACUACGUGCCAGCAGCCGCGGUAAUACGUAGGGUCCAAGCGUUGUCCGGAUUUAUUGGGCGUAAAGAGUUCGUAGGUGGUCGCUUAAGUCUGAUGUUAAAUACCGAAGCUUAACUUCGGCAUGGCAUUGGAAACUGGGCGGCUGGAGUCCGUCAGAGGUAACUGGAAUUCCAGGUGUAGCGGUGAAAUGCGUAGAUAUCUGGAGGAACACCCGUGGCGAAAGCGAGUUACUGGGACGGUACUGACACUGAGGAACGAAAGCCUGGGGAGCGAAAGGGAUUAGAUACCCCUGUAGUCCAGGCCGUAAACGAUGGAUACUAGGUGUUGGUGGAUUCGACCCCAUCAGUGCCGCAGUUAACGUGAUAAGUAUCCCGCCUGGG